AAAGUAGAGGUACUCUCUUCUUUGGUGUUGCCACGUCCCUAAAUAGUUUCACCAGAGGCUGACAUCUGUCCUCCCUUUCAAGACUUCGCGUUUCAUUAAUAUGACUUAUUGUGGGCUUUUCUGUUUUUAUUUACCGUAGAGGCCCAUAUCUUCUUCUUGAACUGGACGCUGAUUCUAGGGUUUGGCAUCAUCGUCCGUCUCCGACACCGAACUCGCGUCUCUGCAAAAACACAGUCUCUUUCUCAACUCUUUACCUCCCAAAUCUGUUCAUAUCCAUCUAUUUGUUUGGCUUCAUCCAACGUAUUCUUCUUUAAGUUGACAAUAAAUUAUUAUCUGAGCUCUUCGUCUCCUUUCACAGACAAUCAAAACCGUAACAUCGCCUCAAAUUCUAUAAAUUGGAGAUUGUCGAGAGUAGGAUGAAUCUUCAUAGACCUUCUCAGUUAAUGUUUUAUCUUAAACAUAGAAACCUGCCUCGAAUUUGUCUUUGUCUGAUGCUGUUGUUGUUGUUGUCGAAGCACCCAUCUGCCACUCAAUAUUUGAGGUUCUCCUACUAGAUAGAUCUUCCCAAUUCAUUGUUUCUAGGCUAAGAAGAACGGUGAUGGGAAUCACUUUACUUCUCAUUGAUUAGAAAGAUUCGGUGAUCAAAGGAAUCAGUAUCUUAACAUAUGCUUCAGCUUAGGAGGUGCAGUUGGAAAGUAUUUCCCCUGUAUCGAUUUCAAGUCAGGGAUCAAAAAGAAAGAACUUGUCUCGAAUUGGAGAUCUCAACAAAAUCAUCUUCAACUCUAACAAGCAGCUUCUAUGGUUUUCAGGGUAGUUGAUUCUGAGUACCCGCUUUUGCUGCUGGCAACAGCUACGAGUGUGAUGCAGUUUACCAUUCAGUACAGAGGAAAUUGCAGUGAUUCUCCUUCUUCAUCUCUCUGUCCUUUAUACUGCUCCUACUAUGGUUACAAGGACUAGCUUAUGUGGGGUGCGGCAUGGCUGCUGAAAGCAACCAAUGAUCUGUAUUACAAAAACUUCAUAGAAUCUCUAGGAGAUGGAGAUCAGCCUCACAUCUUCAACUGGGACAACAAAUAUGCUGGCGCCUAUGUUCUUCUUUCACAGCGAGCAUUACUUAACAAAGACAUCAACUUUGAACUAUGCAAGAUCCUCCCAGACGCUCCCUCUAGGUCUACCCAUUACACUCAAGGAGGCUUGAUGUACAAGUUACCUCAGAGCAACCAUCAUCCCCAACGCCUUGAUAAGCGUAUCGAAGAAACAAGUGGAUUACAUACUCGGCGCUAACUCAAUAAAUAUGUCGUAAAUGGUUGGGUUCAGACCGAGUUUCAACACCAGUGAAACUCCAUUAGUUGAAGGGAAAUUUGGCCAAGCAUCCGCUACCACUUCUUCCAGCAACACGUCUGCAGCUGGUGGUGGAAAAGAAGGUGAAAGCAAACGCCCCUGUGAGUGAGGUUUUAAGCAGUGAAGCCGGUCAACCCAAUAUACUUUCAUCAUUUUACAGUUUUCUAAAUUGUUAUGCUUUACCUAUUUUGGACCUUGCAAUCUAUUUUCAUGUUUUUUUUUUCAACCAAUUACGGCAUAACCUCCCAUGACGAGAAUAGUUUCUAAGAUUUAAUAUAAAAUAGUCAGGGUUGACUUAAUCUUUUUAUUCAGGUUAACAAAAUGUAUAACUGCAUGUUUACAUAGUAAAAUAUAUAGCUCACGUAUAUUUUUCAUUAACAUUCGCUCUUUACACGUGAAGUGUUGAAAGUAUAUUUUCAAUGAAACUAUAUAUUACCCACUUGACGAUUUUUAAAAUUUAUCUAAAGCUACAGAUCUUAUGCAUCCAAUUAAUCACUCUAAACAUACACUUCUACCAUUUUUCACAAAAUAAGAAAACAAAACUAAGUUGAGAGUCUUGGGACAUACAAUUACAGAACCUCGAUUUGAAGUGGCGAGACAUAGAAACCUAUACUUAAGUAAUUCACCCAAAAAACAAUCUACUCUAACUAUCGAUAUUAGAUUCCUAAUAAUAUAAUUG